GAUGAACGCUGGCGGCGUGCCUAAUACAUGCAAGUCGAGCGAACAGAUACGGAGCUUGCUCCUUUGACGUUAGCGGCGGACGGGUGAGUAACACGUGGGUAACCUACCUAUAAGACUGGGAUAACUUCGGGAAACCGGAGCUAAUACCGGAUAACAUUUGGAACCGCAUGGUUCUAAAGUGAAAGAUGGUUUUGCUAUCACUUAUAGAUGGACCCGCGCCGUAUUAGCUAGUUGGUAAGGUAACGGCUUACCAAGGCUACGAUACGUAGCCGACCUGAGAGGGUGAUCGGCCACACUGGAACUGAGACACGGUCCAGACUCCUACGGGAGGCAGCAGUAGGGAAUCUUCCGCAAUGGGCGAAAGCCUGACGGAGCAACGCCGCGUGAGUGAUGAAGGGUUUCGGCUCGUAAAACUCUGUUAUUAGUGAAGAACAAACGUGUAAGUAAAUGUGCACGUCGUGACGGUACCUAAUCAGAAAGCCACGGCUAACUACGUG
rnacentral:rRNA from 1 species